AUGAACGUUAGCGGCGCGCCUGAUGCACGCAAGUCGAACGCCCAAGUCGUCCGCAAGGAUGACAAGGGAGUGGCAAACGGCUGAGUAACGCGUAAGUAACCUACCUCCAAGUGGGGAUAACUUGCCGAAAGGCAGGCUAAUUCUGCAUGUGCUGAUAAGCAAAUAGUUUUUCAGUAAAGCUUUCGAGCGCUUAGAGAAGGGCUUGCGUCUGAUUAGCUAGUUGGUAGGUAACGGC
rnacentral:rRNA from 1 species